GAAGGGGGCGGCAGAGGAUGAGAGGGCUGGAUGGAGUCACUGGGGCAGUUGGCAUGAGCUUGGGUGGAGUCCGGGGGAAGGUGGAGGACAGGAAGGCCUGGAGGAAGGUUGUCCAUGGGGCUGGGAUGGGUCGGACAUGGCUUUGCGACUAACAACCAACAAGAAGAUCAUGUUUC